rnacentral:rRNA from 1 species
UACGUAGGGUGCAAGCGUUGCUCGGAAUUAUUGGGCGUAAAGGGUAGGUAGGUGGUCUCAUUUGUCUGAGGUGAAAGCCUUGAGCUUAACUCAAGAAGUGCCUCAGAAACGGUGGGACUCGAGUCCUGGAGAGGGUCGUGGAAUUCCCGGUGUAGCGGUGAAAUGCGUAGAGAUCGGGAGGAACACCAGAGGCGAAAGCGGCGACCUGGACAGGCACUGACACUCAACUACGAAAGCGUGGGGAGCAAACAGG